rnacentral:tRNA from 1 species
UCGCCUGUAGCUCAGAGGAGAGAGCAGAGGUUUCCUAAACCUUUGGUCGCAGGUUCGACUCCUGUCAGGCGAG